rnacentral:lncRNA from 1 species
CCUGGACCAAAGGUUGGUAUAAAUUACUAGUAUUUAUUUAUUGUUUUGAAUAAACUGAUGAACACGCUCAAUCGUGUGGGACUUUGUGCCACUAUUGUCGAGGAAACUCAUGCGUAUAUAUCAAAUGUGGCCGUUUCAUGNNNNNNNNNNNNNNNNNNNNGAAUCAUGUGGAUUGGCACGGCAAUCAAAGAUUUCAAAUGAUAGAAUGUAGAGUUAAGUAAUUUACAGGGCUUUCAGAGGGAAUUUAUAGAAUUUAUAUUGGUCCAAAAAUAAGGGUUUAAGCCAUGUUUUAACACGGAAUUGGCAGACACCCCCCGAAUUAAAAGGGGCUAGUUGGAGCCCCUGGAUGUAGCUCUUAUAGCAGAUUUAUUUUGUGUUUGUGGCGAAGAGGGUGUAUAUUACACCCGUUUUCAAAAUUACGCGACCA